ACUUUGGAGUGUUACACCAAAUGCAAGUAGCGAUCUGUUUAAUAGAUAGACGUGAAAGCAGACACGAUGAAGAAGUAA
rnacentral:sRNA from 26 species